rnacentral:rRNA from 1 species
CUGGCUCAGGAUGAACGCUGGCGGCGUGCUUAACACAUGCAAGUCGAGCGGAAAUAUGCAAUCGGAGAGCUUCGGCAGGAAGAUUACAUAUUUUAGCGGCGGACGGGUGAGUAACGUGUGGGCAACCUGCCCUGUACUGUGGAAUAAUCACUGGAAACGGUGACUAAUACCGCAUGUCAUUGCGAGAGGGCAUCCUCUUGCAAGAAAAGGAUUUAUUCGGU